UUGGCGGACGGGUGAGUAACGCGUGGGUAACCUGCCUUACACAGGGGGAUAACACUUAGAAAUAGGUGCUAAUACCGCAUGAGCGCACAGGACCGCAUGGUCGAGUGUGAAAAACUGAGGUGGUGUAAGAUGGACCCGCGUCUGAUUAGCUAGUUGGUGAGGUAACGGCCCACCAAGGCGACGAUCAGUAGCCGGCCUGAGAGGGUGGACGGCCACAUUGGGACUGAGACACGGCCCAAACUCCUACGGGAGGCAGCAG
rnacentral:rRNA from 1 species